GACUUAUCACGGGUGACGUGCCAAAGUUUGUACUGUUCUUGACAGACUGGGAACUUCGAGAACAUCCUGACCCUUCCUUGAUGCAAAUGCUAAAUAAAUACAUAAAAAGCCUGCAUUGUGAUUGGACAGUGCUGUACAAGUGGCACCCGUGCGUCCCGACAGACUUCCGUGAUGGCUGGGAUGUUGGAUGGUGAUGAUGAUUUGAGACCAGCGUGCGGAACGCUGUGGGAAUUAUCUUAUUUCUAAAAACCCUGUAGGGCGAAAUCACGGGGACGAGGCGGGAGAAGGAAAGCCCAGCUGACAGCCAUAUAGAAAAAGUCCAGAGCCCCCCAGCCGACAGUGGAGAAAUCACCAUCUGGAGCGAGGCCUGCACGCCAUGCUGGGCCUGUCAAAAAGACGAAGCUCUUUUCCCAGCAUACUUUUGUCCAUCGUCUCUCUCUUUCUCUCCUCCAUUGGAGCUCUCACUUCCCAGCAGAGCUUUCACAGUUCUCCUCUCCACAAAGACCUCCUACUGCACGGAUUGUUCCAUUCAUUGGCGGGGGGGAGGAACCGGAUGGACAUCACUCAUUCGGAUCUACAGAAUGGUUAACCGACUUUUGCACGAAGCCUCCCCUACUGCCGACCUUUGACUGGCCGAAAAGGCAUCCGAAAAAAUCUGCACCGCCUGCCGUCUCCGCUGCUUUGUAACCUGUGAACGGUGAAUUGAGUUGACUUCCAUUCAAAGACAGCCAGCGAUGGUGAAUGCUUGACUAGGUUGCUUUGGACUAGCAGCCCCCUGGGUUCUGGGCAGGGGCCUGAAUGAUGCGUGAAGCUGCUUUGGAAUUGAGAGCCAGUGCAGGCAGGGGGCUAAUAGCGGUGCGCGGGAUUGUCUUCACGGCCCUGGUGGGGUGAGUGUUGAGGGCCAAAACCAUCUGCUUUUGUAAUGGUGAGCAUCAAAGCCAGGAGGAGCACGGCAGGAGAUCUCCUUUCACCAGGGACACAUUGCAUAUGGGCCUCAUAUUUCUCCAAGACGGGUUCCUGCAGACCGCUGGGACCCAUCAUAGUCGCCUCUAUUCUCUUUAUCCCUGCAUGGCUACUGAGUGCCAAAUAGGUGUGGAGAGACAGGAAUUCCCUAUUAUUUACCCUGGGAAUUUAGAUAAUAGAUGAGUUUGUUUGACCCAGCAGACCCCAAACUGUAAACACUCCCCUUUCCCUAAUUUUAGUCGUUUUAUCUAGCCAGAAACCGUAGUCUUUGCUUUAUUUUUGUUGGUGGGAGGAAAAAUGGGUCACUAGAUGGCUCAAGCAACAUGCUCAGAAGAUGAUUAAUUAUUAAAGUGACUAAUACUACAUUUGCCUCUGAGCGCUUGUGACUUUAAUCCAUGGCAGGGGCACAGCUACUUGUAUUCAGUUUUCCACUUGUGUAUACACGCACACACACAUAUCUUGUUCUUCUAUGCCACUAGCUAAAUUCAAUUUCAGUUUCAAUUAGCUUUAUUGUCAUGACCAAGAUACAUAUUUGAACUGCCAAAGUUUUAUCACUCUGCUGUGUCAGUUCCUCUCAUUCUUACGGUCGGCCCUCCUCCAUCCGGAAGUAGUAAAAAAAGAAAAGUAAUAUGCCACUCGAUCUGCACAGUAUCACAUGAACUCAAACACACCUAUGAUUUUUAUGGCAGUAAAAGCGGAAACCGAGGAUAGCCCGGAUAUGACACCAUUGGCAAGCGACCCUAUGAAUGGGGGCGGGCACUAUUAAAAAAACAUUUAGGAUAAUGUACGUACACAUGUAAACAAAAUCUAUAACAUAAAUACCUGGUUGUAUUCUGGUAUGGUCAUGACGUUCUUUA